AUGCUUUUUAUCAGCACAGCUUCUGGCAGGAAACAGAGCACACUCAGACUUCAUUUGAGGAGGAAAACACUGCCAAAGUCCAAAGAAGAGCUUGGGAGGAUGGAGAGCAAAAUGCCCCAAGGCUACUGCCGCAGCCCUCCUUCUGCCCUGUGGUGGGCUCCAUUCUGCCAUCCUCUGCAGACCAGAGGCCUUACCUGCUGCUCCCAGGUGCCAUUUUCUGUUCUUUACUUGAACUGGGGUUUAGCCCCUUCUUGGGAGAGUCCCCAGCUACUGGGGGUGAGGGUGGCCUGUAAGGGAAUCUGUUCAGGGUGGUCCCCCUGCUUGUGGUCCCGGCUGCAGUGUGAGUCCAGUGACAAGGUUGUUGGCAGGCUGAUGACCCAGUUUAGAAUCGGGACCCACCGGGCAUCCCCAGGUGCGGGGAUGGGAACUGGAGUCUCAAAGCAGACAAGUGGCCAGGGCUAGUAGCCCUUCGUCCUCCAGCCUCUGCGCUCUGCACCCCGGGUCCCCUCCCCUCCUAGCGCCCGGGGCCCCUGGGGCCAGGGAGUCCUCGAGUCCAGGAGGUGACAGCAUGUGGUCCAGGGUGACCGGCACACGUGACCCCAUGGGGGCGUUUCAGGUGACCAGGGUCCCGAGCGGAGACCACAGCCUGACUCUGUGGCCUUAGCUUCCGGCCCCGCUGCAGCAGUGCUGGGGGCUCCGCAGCCUCCACUGGCGAAUCAGGACUGGUCAGUUUGCGGUUGCCCAGGCUGUACCAGGAGCCCUGGGGGCGGAUGUCCCCUUCUCUGCUCAAAUCGCUCACGCGGAGGCAGCACUGUUGGUGAUAGGUGGGGGUCUCACUGGCCCCGGGACCUACCAUGGUGCCUGGCACCUGUUGCUGCUGCUAAGUCGCGUCAGUCAUGUCCGACUCUGUGUGACCCCAUAGACGGCAGCACACCAGGCUCCUCUGUCCCUGGGAUUCUCCAGGCAGGAAUACUGGAGUGGGUUGCCAUUUCCUUCUCCAGUGCAUGAAAGUGAAAAGUGAAAGUGAAAUAGCUCAGUCGUGCCCAACUCUUUGCAACACCAUGGACUGUAGCCCACCAGGCUCCUCCGUCCAUGGGAUUCUCCAGGCAAGAGUGCUGGAGUGGGUUGCCAUUGCCUUCUCCAACACCUGCUGGGCACUUAUUAAAAAUCGAUUGGGCAAUAACAGUGUAGGAUAGCUCAAAGCAGACCCAUUCUCAUGAUGCUUUUAAAAUAAGCUCUAAUUCUUGAUCAUAGGUUAAAGGCCUAUUGAAAGUGAAGUGAAGACAUCCUUCGUGGUCCAGUGGUUAAGAAUCCACCUUCCAGUUCAGGGGAGGAGGGUGGUUCCAUCCCUGGCCUGGAAACUAAGAUCCCACAUGCCCUGGAGGCAACUAAGACCACCCACCUCUACUACUGAGCCCCUGAACCACAACUAGACAGAAGGCUGGGUACCCCAGCAAAGAUCCCCUGAACUGCCACUAACCCAAUAGCAGCUGAA
rnacentral:lncRNA from 1 species